CAUUUUCCAUAACAUACUCAAAUUUUACGACUUACAAAUAUGAUUGAAAUCGGGUAUAUAAGCCUGUCGUUCCUUGCAAAAGUAGUGUUCAAGCGUUCAUUCGCAACAUAUAAUGUUGUGGUCAAACAUUGUCAUUGGUAUUCUACUUCUAAGUGCUCCAUUCUCCAUGGGGGAAGAGUGUAAGGCAAAGUGUAAGAUAAAGAAAGCCCUAACCAGAGCAUUAAAGGGUUAAUGGAAUCCCAGGUUAUAGGACGGCAAAAUAAUUGAAUGGAAAUAAUAAUGAAAAACAUGUAGCCCUUUCUGUACACUUAAUAAAAUUUUUCAAAAUCAUUUGAGCAUACAAAAA